AUUGAACGCUGGCGGCAGGCUUAACACAUGCAAGUCGAGCGAGCGGAGGACGGGCGAGUAAUGUCUGGGAAAGUGCGUGACGGAGGGGGAUAACUACUGGAAACGGUAGCAAAUACCGCAUACCAUCAGAUGUGCCCAGAGGGGAUUAGCUAGUAGGUGGGGAAAAGGCUCACCUAGGCGACGAUCCCUAGCUGGUCUGAGAGGAUGACCGGCCACACUGGGACUGAGACACGGUCCAGACUCCUACGGGAGGCAGCAGUGGGGAAUAUUGCACAAUGGGCGCAAGCCUGAUGCAGCCAUGCCGCGUGUGUGAAGAAGGCCUUCGGGUUGUAAAGCACUUUCGGCGGGGAGGCGUUACUCGCAGAAAAAGCACCGGCUAACUCCGUGCCAGCAGCCGCGGUAAUUC
rnacentral:rRNA from 1 species